rnacentral:lncRNA from 1 species
UUAGUCAAUUGAUUCCAUUUAAAACUAUUAAAAAGCAUAUAUCAAAAUUAGUUAGUGUUUCUUUCUUUUCUUCUAAAAAUCCAUGUUAGGAUUGAAUUAAACAAAUCUAUAGAUGAUUUUGGGAUAUAUUUUCAUUGUAGAAAAUCAUAAAUGUUAUUUCAUUUGGUCAGAAUGACAGUAAAAAAAAAGAAAAAAAGAAUGACAGUGAUCAUUGGAUUUUAGCUUCUUCAAGAGCUGAGGUUGAUACCAAGUGCAAAAACCAUGUUUAUGUAUGUUAUUAUUAUACUUCCACGUCCAAAACAAUUUGGAUCUUUCGCUGCAGAAGCUCGUGGAAUCUACUUCAACGUUUGUUCUAAUCUCGGGGAGGGACUUAAGCUAUGUUAACAGAACUUAAAAGUUGUAUCUUGGUUCUUAUUAUUCUUUUAUUUUUAAUUUGUAAAAAAACUAUGUAACAGCCCAAGCACGAACAACGAUCACAUUUGUGUUUGUAGGAAGAAGAUAAAAUAAUAACAACGCGCCCAACACAAUAUUUGCUUCUUGAGCUUACUUUGCGUAGCUUUAUUGGACUUAUUCUUGGGUUCACCCCCUAAGUGAAUACGUAGGUUCACCAACCAAUAGGAUUGUGUCAUUUUAGAUUCAGUAUCUUUUAAAAAAGGAAAUAAAAUAUUAUC